ACUUCUCCUAGCAGCAGGGCAGGUGUGGCUGCUGUCUGCACUCAGUGUUCUGACCUACGAACAUAUGAAUGGCUAGUAGACUCACAUA
rnacentral:snoRNA from 1 species